GAUGAAGAACGCAGCGAAAUGCGAUAAGUAAUGUGAAUUGCAGAAUUCAGUGAAUCAUCGAAUCUUUGAACGCACAUUGCGCCCGGUAGUAUUCUGCCGGGCAUGCCUGUUCGAGCGUCAUUUCAACCAUCAAGCCCUAGGCUUGCGUUGGAGCCCUGCGGCUGCCGCAGGCUCCCAAAUCCAGUGGCGGGCUCGUCGUCGUACCGAGUGCAGUAAACAUCCUCGCUCAGGGAACGUGACGGGUUCUUGCCGUGAAACCCCCCACAUAUCAAGGUUGACCUCGGAUCAGGUAGGAAUACCCGCUGAACUUAAGCAUAUCAAUAAGCGGAGGA
rnacentral:misc_RNA from 1 species